UACGUAGGGGGCAAGCGUUGUCCGGAAUUAUUGGGCGUAAAGCGCGCGCAGGCGGUCCUUUAAGUCUGAUGUGAAAGCCCACGGCUCAACCGUGGAGGGUCAUUGGAAACUGGGGGACUUGAGUGCAGGAGAGAAGAGUGGAAUUCCACGUGUAGCGGUGAAAUGCGUAGAGAUGUGGAGGAACACCAGUGGCGAAGGCGGCUCUCUGGUCUGUAACUGACGCUGAGGCGCGAAAGCGUGGGGAGCGAACAGG
rnacentral:rRNA from 1 species